CACACGCCGUUGACUUUUUGGGUCUAAGCAGGUAUCCUCACGAUGUUUACCUUUACCGUUCGAGCGAAUGUUUAAUGCGCACAAACAUAGAAGUCCAUUGGUACACAGCCUGGGAUCGAACCUACAUCCUCACGGAUUAGAGUGGCACGCUGCCACUAUGCCAACACUGCUCGUCGAACGAACAGUGAUAAAAUUCUAGACUUUUAUGAUUAAACCGCUAUUGAACCGCUUUUGUUUAAUUUUUGAACGCUGUGUAGUAAACAGACCUAACUAAAACUGAAAAUGAUUUAGAAUAUGACAACAAUACUACAAUCGUUAUUUUGUAAGUGAAUUCGGCACAAGUACAAGCGUUGGAAGCAUGUAUGUGACGAGAUUCCAAAAUCUCGUCAAUAUAAAAUCCUCCAAAGACAUAUUUUUCUGUAGUUACAAUAUUUAAUAGAUAACAUUACAAAUAAAACAGUAAAGGCUUAGUACAUUUAGUGAUUUUUCUCUUGAGUAUCUGAAAAGAAAAGCUUUCCAAAAACUUUAAGCUGAGUUUCAUCAAAAUCGUGUUAAACGGAUGUCAUUGCAUCAGUGCUUUUUUUCCUCUGAAAGAUGAUUCAAAAAUCGUCUGUUAAACCGUCUUGUCAUAUACGGAUCAUCUUCUUCAACCUUAUACUCAUCAAACGUGUUAAGGAAACUAUUAACUGCAGUUUUAAAGGCCCGUCGAUAACUCGUAACUGGCAUUCGACGCCGUAAAGUCACAACUGGUUCAAAUGGUAUCAACAUACCCGCGGCAGUAGCUAUCAACGGCAUGAAAGGCGCAGGGAAGUAAUAGGAAAUAAUUUCCAUCACACCAUUCACAAUACACGUCCCAAUAUUUUUCAGUACCAUAACGACUUUCGGUUCCGUUAUGAGUCUGGCUAACGGCGCCGUUAGAAUUCUGUAAAAUGUAAUUUUGAAUUUUGGUUCGUUUGUCUUUUCUAAUAUGACCUUCUUGUCUUUUUCUGUGAUGUCAUACUCCUCAGAUAUGUAAGACAGUUUUGAUUUGUUAAUAUGUGUAACUGUUUCCGGCUUUUUUGUGUCGUAUUGGUCGUUUAUUUCGGGGGCUUGGGGCUGUAAAUUGUACAAUUACAAUACUUUGAUUAUUUAAUCUCUAGUUUCGUCAACAAAUUUGAUGUAUUUAAGUAGCAGAGACUGAGGGAUUUAUUAAUUGAAAUGGCUAUUUCAAUUCUUUGAUGUGUCCCUCAUACAAUGAAUGAAAUAUUAAAUAUGAAGUACACUAAAUAAAUAUUUAUUUUUGGUUUAUUCUUCUGAAGUAAGUCACAAAAGCUGUUGUAAGUUGUCAUGUCCUGGACCUGACACAAAGUAUUGAAUGUUGCUAAUAAGAAAAAAAACGAGUAUGCAAAUGAAAAUCCAUUUGACAUCGCAAAUUCCCUUUAUGCCAUCAAAGAAUUACUCACCGCCGCCAUAAAAAGAAAAGGGCAAAGAGAUAAAAUAGUAAAUAGCAGGAGAGCCAUUUCAACUGAAUUUUCAGUCACAUCUCGAGUCUCUUUGAUCGAGAAAUAAUGUAUUAUCGUAAAAUUGCUUUACGAACUUUUUAUGUUUUGUUUAUUUUAUUGCAUGUUACAGAAUUUAAUUUAGUACUAUUUUACAGUUCAGUUUGAAACUGGAAAAUAUUAUACUGCAAUCGUUAUUUAGAAUGAUGAAAAGCGAGCGUCUUGGAACGAGUUAAUUGGCAAAACUUAAUUAAAAACAAAUUGAGAAAUUCAAUUAUAAGAGAUCCGAACGUUUGUUAAUCACUAUCGAGAAUGAGAUUCUUUGGAGUUUUUAUUUUAUUUAUGGCUGUUUUCUGUGUACAUUCACAGGUACCAUAUGACUAUCCACCCAUAGGACGAGAAGCAAGGAGAGAUGCGUUGAGACCUCAUCCAUCUGAUGUAAACCUUAUUUAUGAGAGGUUGUUCCCUUCACGACGCAAAUAUGCAGAUUAAACUUAUUUCGUUAUA